rnacentral:lncRNA from 12 species
AUGCUCACGCCUGAUGGAGACAAGCAGACAUCGCCGGGAAGAGCCCAGAUAAAUGGUGUCCCUGCUUUACCGGGCGACGUGGUCCUCCCUCCCCUCUCACAGCUUUCGGGGCACUUUCGGGCACGACUCCCGCUCCUCACUCUGAGAAGCUUCUUUGAGGGCUCUCGGUCGCCACCGCCCCACUCCGUCGCCCCGGACAAGUUAAAUUGCAGCUGAAGGAGAGAGGUCAGUAUCUUUUCAAAUCAAUCUGUCUGUCUGCCUAUGUCCCCAUCUAUUCCCUGUAAAGGGAAAAGCUCCAACUUUGUUUCUCCAUCUGUUCUGUAUCAUCUGCAAUCGACAGUUCUUUAGAUUGCAUGCACUUUUGCUCCUGAUGAAGUGAAACUUCUAGGGUGUAUAGUCACUUACCUGAAAUAGGGAAAAAAGGGAAACCGUCUUUUCCAAUCUUAGAGGAGAAUUGUUUUCUUUCCGUGCAACUAACUUUCUUUCUUUCUUUCUUUCU